rnacentral:rRNA from 1 species
AUUGAACGCUGGCGGCAGGCUUAACACAUGCAAGUCGAACGAGUGGCGGACGGGUGAGUAAUGCUUGGGAAUCUAGCUUAUGGAGGGGGAUAACUACGGGAAACUGUAGCUAAUACCGCGUACCAUAGGAUGAGUCCAAGUGGGCGUAGGUAGUUGGUGAGGUAAAGGCUAACCAAGCCGACGAUCUCUAGCUGGUCUGAGAGGAUGAACAGCCACAAUGGGAAUAAGACACGGCCCAGACUCCUACGGGAUGCAGCAGUGGGGAAUAUUGCGCAAUGGGGGCAACCUGACGCAGCCAUGACGCGUGAAGGAAGAAGGCCUUCGGAUUGUAAAGUGCUUUCAUUAGCGAGGCGUUAACUACAGAAGAAGCACCGGCUAACUCCGAGCCAGCAGCCGCAGUAAUAC